AACGAAGAAUAUAGUCGCAAUUAUGGAUUUACUAUGAUGCUUUUUUCGGCUCAGCUGCUUUUAAUUUUACCUUGCAUGCCAAUUUUGUUUAUAUCCGUUAUUCAAGGAUAUGCAGUGGGAGAUUUUUUUGAAUUAUUCAAAAUAUGUAUGUCAGGCUUUUGUAGUCUUGCUCCGCCACUGAUUAUAUAUAUAACAGCUAUGGCGGUAUGCAGUUUGGAUGGAGAGGCAAGCAAAACAGCCAGAAUACUAUCAAGAAUAUCAAGACGAGGCAGUUCAAUUGAGAAAAUGGUCGAUAAAUUUCUCAUGAAGAAUAUGCAACAGAAGCCAAUUUUGACUGCGUAUGGAUUUUUUCCACUAAAUAAACAAACA